rnacentral:rRNA from 1 species
UGGGGAAUUUUGGACAAUGGGCGCAAGCCUGAUCCAGCCAUGCCGCGUGCAGGAUGAAGGCCUUCGGGUUGUAAACUGCUUUUGUACGGAACGAAACGGCCUUUUCUAAUAAAGAGGGCUAAUGACGGUACCGUAAGAAUAAGCACCGGCUAACUACGUGCCAGCAGCCGCGGUAAUACGUAGGGUGCAAGCGUUAAUCGGAAUUACUGGGCGUAAAGCGUGCGCAGGCGGUUAUGUAAGACAGUUAUGAAAUCCCCGGGCUCAACCUGGGAACUGCAUCUGUGACUGCAUAGCUAGAGUACGGUAGAGGGGGAUGGAAUUCCGCGUGUAGCAGGGAAAUGCGUAGAUAUGCGGAGGAACACCGAUGGCGAAGGCAAUCCCCUGGACCUGUACUGACGCUCAUGCACGAAAGCGUGGGGAGCAAACAGG